GCCGAGGUAGGGUAGUGGCUAUCCUGAGGGACUGUGGAUCCCUCGACCCGGGUUCAAUUCUCGGUCUCGGCCCCA
rnacentral:tRNA from 3 species